ensembl:lncRNA
CAGCAGUGGAGGUGAGGGUGUCUUGCUGGUGUUUCUUAUAUCCUUGAGGCCCUCUGAAGUGUUACGCAGACCCUGUAAAAAGUUGGUCCUCCUCCUGUUUAUAAGAUACCUUCAAGUGCUAGAAGCCACAGUGAAGCAUUUUCUUCUCCUUGAGGUGGCUGCAUUUGAACAGCAGCACAGCUGGAACAUUAACUAACUAAAAGUGAAGUUAAUAACUGCAGACUUCCACACGAAGGUACAAUAUACAUCCUCAAGCCAGGGAAGCCCUACCGCAUCUGAGAAAGGCUGCCUUGCAGAAAUUCAGCUGCAACAACACAGACACAGGAAACAUCCUCAGCAAUUUCAGCUGAACACACAAUGCCAAACGACCACCCACCGAAGAGGGCAUUUGCCUCCCCUUUCUCACCCCUCAAGAUUACCGAGGGAAUGGCAUCAGCCAGGGAAGAAGCCCCCAGCACAGAAAAAGCAGGUGCCUCCUCUUUUAGUGUGCCCAGGACCAGGAACACCACCACUAAGCAGCCAUCACCACACAGGAGCCACUAGAGCACCCCGGGAAGAGACAUCUUUAUCAGCUUUGUCAGGAGGGGAGCUCCCCCUCCCCACCCCACAGAGGGA